UGGGGAAUUUUGCACAAUGGGGGAAACCCUGAUGCAGCGACGCCGCGUGAUUUAGAAGGCCUUCGGGUUGUAAAAAUCUUUUUUACGGGAUGAAAAUGACAGUACCGUAAGAAUAAGGUCCGGCUAAAUACGUGCCAGCAGCCGCGGUAAUACGUAUGGACCGAGCGUUGUCCGGAAUCAUUGGGCGUAAAGGGUACGUAGGCGGCCUAGUAUGUUAGAAGUGAAAUAAUAUAGCUCAACUAUAUAAAGCUUUUAAAACUGCUAGGCUUGAGAGAUGGAAGGGAAAGUGGAAUUCCUAGUGUAGCGGUGAAAUGCGCAGAUAUUAGGAAGAAUACCGGUGGCGAAGGCGACUUUCUGGUCAUCAUCUGACGCUGAGGUACGAAAGCGUGGGUAGCAAACAGG
rnacentral:rRNA from 1 species